rnacentral:sRNA from 1 species
AGAAAAGUAGGUGCCUGCCCCGCACAGGGGCGACGCUAAUAGACCGAUAAGAAAACAAGGAAAGGCCCCGCCGUUGGCGACCAGACGCCAGGCGCCGAGCAGGCAAAAAAACCCUUACUCCAUCCCUAA